UGUCAUGCUUGACAGGAUUCAUCAGUAAAUGGAGACAUAUUGCUGCAACUCAGGGUGUGCCCAUUGUGCCAUGAGGAUGGAGGGAAAGUGCUGAAAGCAGACGGGGGCCAGCUUACCACAAGAGAAACUGAAGGUGAACUUGU
rnacentral:lncRNA from 1 species